rnacentral:piRNA from 1 species
UGUCAAUUAGGAAAUCUAUAACUGGUC